rnacentral:rRNA from 1 species
AUUGAACGCUGGCGGCAGGCCUAACACAUGCAAGUCGAACGGUAACAGGAAGAAGCUUGCUUCUUUGCUGACGAGUGGCGGACGGGUGAGUAAUGUCUGGGAAACUGCCUGAUGGAGGGGGAUAACUACUGGAAACGGUAGCUAAUACCGCAUAACGUCGCAAGACCAAAGAGGGGGACCUUCGGGCCUCUUGCCAUCGGAUGUGCCCAGAUGGGAUUAGCUAGUAGGUGGGGUAACGGCUCACCUAGGCGGCGAUCGCUAGCUGGUCUGAGGGGAGGACCAGCCACACUGGAACUGAGACACCGUCCAGACUCCUACGGUAGGCCGCAGUGGGGAAUAUUGCGCAAUGGGCGCAAGCCUGAUGCAGCCAUGCCGCGUGUAUGCAGAAGGCCUUCGGGUUGUAAAGUACUUUCAGCGGUGGGGAAGGGAGUACAGUUAAUACCUAUGCUCAUUGACGUUACCCGCAGAAGAAGCACCGGCUAACUCCGUG